AGUGAACGCUGGCGGUAGGCCUAACACAUGCAAGUCGAACGGCAGCACAGUAAGAGCUUGCUCUUACGGGUGGCGAGUGGCGGACGGGUGAGGAAUACAUCGGAAUCUACUUUUUCGUGGGGGAUAACGUAGGGAAACUUACGCUAAUACCGCAUACGACCUACGGGUGAAAGCAGGGGAUCUUCGGACCUUGCGCGAUUGAAUGAGCCGAUGUCGGAUUAGCUAGUUGGCGGGGUAAAGGCCCACCAAGGCGACGAUCCGUAGCUGGUCUGAGAGGAUGAUCGGCCACACUGGAACUGAGACACGGUCCAGACUCCUACGGGAGGCAGCAGUGGGGAAUAUUGGACAAUGGGCGCAAACCUGAUCCAACCAUCCCGCGUGGGUGAAAAAGGCCUUCGGGUUGUAAAGCCCUUUUGUUGGGAAAGAAAAGCAGCAGGUUAAUACCCCGCUGUUCUGACGGUACCCAAAGAAUAAGCACCGGCUAACUUCGUG
rnacentral:rRNA from 1 species